UUAGAAAAGAGCAUUGAUUUGAAUAGUAUAAAUAUGUAGUAGUAGUAGUCUCUCGGUAACCGAGGAUGACAAUUGUCUUUGUGUGUUUUCAUCUAUGAUAGAUGAGUGUGCAAAAAGACACUUGUGUGUGAAGGAGAUUUAAGUGGAAAAGUCCAUGCACAGAGACAGUCCCACUCUCUCAGCGUUGGAAGCCUGGGUCCAAUGGCACGAAAAAUCGUUACCCCUGGAGACUUCCUCAGCUGCAUUGGAUGGUCGUGUUGUCUUUUGUGCUCCAACACACCCAAAGCACUCCAAAGAGCUUUGCUGCAUCACCAUCUCAGCCGUUGAAUCUUCUUAUUGGUUUCUUCCGUCUGUUCGGCCAAAGCAGUCUUCACAUGCUGGGGAUCUUCUCAGUGGCCAGUUGAUAUCUGUUUAAACACCAGCAAAGCAGCCCUCUUCUCCAAGAACUUGGCCUGUAAUGUAUAUCAUCAGAGAGACACCCCAUCCUGGGUCUCUUGGUAAUAAUGAUUUUGGCCCAUCGUGCAAGGCAAGUAAUUGUGUUCAGUCUUUCCCUUUGUUAACAUAUCCAAGCAGAUAGUCUACAUCUAUUUGACCUUCUGUCUCACAGCUCUGGGAAACCUUUUUCUCUGUUCCUUAUAGUUCUCAAUCUCUAGAGAAGUGCAUUGCAUAUUCUUACCCUUUGGGGGAAGAACAUUUGUCUCCUAAGGGCUGAAUAUAUAGCACACUGGUCCCAUGACACCUAGAGAAUGAACAUGGAUACCAUCACAUCAUUUCUUCAGCCCCAUUCUGCAUGAUGUCACCCAGAAAUGGAAGGAGGGAUUAUGGUGACUCCAGUAGAUCCUUCUGAGAAAGAUGGUUCUAUAGCCAGGACUGUGGAUAAAGGCAGCCAAAACAAUUUACUCUAAUAAGGCUGCCAGGAACAUGCUAGACGGAGCAUGCAUGGAUUCUCUCUGACUCUAACAAUGUCAGGCUGGGCUUUUUGGACCAGUUUUCUUCUUGGCAGAGAAUUUUCUGGCUGCAGCUGGAAAUAUCCUAUCCAUAGACCAACUCUUAGAAAGAACGCUACCACAGGAGUGGGUCAGAUUAUCAUAUGGAACUUAUGUGUUCUUAUGAUAUUGUAAUUGUCAUCAGUCCUCCCAAGGACCCUCCUCUGAUCUGCCUCAUCUUGAGUUUCUAAAGUCAAUGUUAGAAGUGCAUAAGCUCCAGCAUUCAAAAAAAGCUAAAAAGAUCUCAAGGUCAAAGGAAGGAAAAAGAAUAAUUUAUAUAGUGCCUAGUAUGUGCCAGGUACUAUGCUAAGCCCU
rnacentral:lncRNA from 1 species